ensembl:lncRNA
GCUGGCUCUUAUCAACAAGGCAGGGGCUCGGGGUUUGCUUCCAGAUGCUCUGGUGUGCUGAAACCCAGCGCCGGGUCGUGUUUGUUUGUUUGCUUUCCUAGCACAGGAACCGAGCAGGUUUUCACAGCUUCUCCAGGAAAGGGGCCACCCAUUCUGUGGUGUGCACUUUGCUAACGGACAAUUGAAGGCUUGAAAGCAAACAGGAGGUUUGAUCUGCCUCCUGCUGCAAACUGGUGGUUCCCGUGCUUUUUUUAGGGGGCAGCUGCACCAGCAAGCCGGGCUGAGACCUUGGCCAAACCAGCCAAGCCACAGCAAGUGGUGGGACGCUCCAAACCCUGCUGUGGUUCCUGGGAUGCACCCAACCCCCCCAAGGGCUUUUGGGAGAGAAGAGCACAGCCCAACCUCUGCUUGGCAUCAUCCCACAGUGACUCAAAUCCGUGCGGGUGUGGUCACGAGGAAGGAAGCACUGACCACCCACCCCAUCCCAGCAAUGCGUCUGCAAAGCCUUUCCAAUGCAGAACCAAAGCACAGCAGAGCCUCCUCCUUGCUGCGUGCCUCGGGUGACACAUGGCCCCCUCCAACCUGGGGACACCUGGGUGGCCUCUAAACCAACGUGAGAGGUUUUCUCAGCUGGAAACCACUCCCUUAUCCACACUUUAUGAGCAUGCUGGCAAUGGACCUUGCACCCAGCCCUGCGCCGUGCUGCUCAACCUUCGCUCUUCCCAUCCUACGUUCACUGUUGACCUCGCCCGAGGUGCGGUUGGUUGUCAGUGGGUGCGUGCAGCAGCUUGCUGCCUGCCCCUUGCAGCAUCCCCGCCUCAGGUGUGCCUCUGCUUCCCCAAAGGGAGCCAAGUCAUGGUCUGUGCAGCUCCUCCCGCCCUCUGCUCGGGUAUGGCACACGGGGACAGACCCUGGGAGCAGGGAACCCGACUGUCACCUGCUGCAUCCAGCAGGAUUUUCGCUCAGCCCUUUGGCUGUCCAAACAUUUGCGGAGUGCUGGCAGGCCCGGAAUGUGUGCAAGAGCUCCGGCAGCGUGUCUCAGGCGUGGGAAAGCUCUGCUCUCCUCAACCUUUACAGGCUUGUUCCCCCUCAGGCAGCGAUUCAAUAAAACCCGCGCCAGAGAUUUAUUGAGCUGAUAAUGACAGCUUCAGUCAGCAGGCAGACACCGGCGAAGCCUCCAAAAAAAUAAAAUAAUAAAGUAAAGUGGAAUAAAAAAAAGAGGGAAGAAAUGCUGGUGCCCGGCCCAGGCUGCAACCCCCCCCCUUGCUGAGGGUCCCUGGGUGGGCAGUGCAGUGCAGGGGGUGUGGGGGGGAUGCGGUGUGCUGGUAUCCCAUGGGGUGCAGUGCUGGGGAUGCUGGGGGGCUCUCUGCUCUGCUCUUUGUGCUGCAAGGAAGCAAACUGCAGCCCCGCGCAGCCAGCAGUGCCAUUCUGGUUCUGUGCCCCUUAGGGAAAUCCUGGAAGACAAAAGAGAGGAGGAACCCAGCCCGGCCCCCAGGGCACUGUGCAGCCACGCUGGGGUUAAAUCCCUCAAACACACCUGUGCUUAUCAAGCCCGUUUUUACCCAUGGGAAAUGCAGGAGAUAGAGGGGAAGUGACUCACCUGCAGGAGCUGGGAACAGACCCGCUCGCCCAGCACAGCGAUAAGCAGGGUUCAUGGCUUGCUCCGGUGCACGGCAAUGCAUGGCACAUGGCAAUGCAUGGCACACAGCAAUGCAUGGCACAUGGUAAUGCAUGGCACACGGCAGUGCAUGGCACACGGCAGUGCAUGGCACACAGCAAUGCAUGGCACAUGGUAAUGCAUGGCACACAGCAGUGCAUGGCACACAGCAAUGCAUGGCGCAUGGUAAUGCAUGGCACACUGCAGUGCAUGGCACACUGCAUUCCCUCCAGCAAACCCAUGCAGCUCAGUGCUGUGCUUUAAGGAAACCUUUCCUGAGAUAACCCUCAGUUCAGAACCCUCCACCUCCUAUGGGAGCUCCUGGAGGCACAGAAAAACGUGCUGGGGUAUGAAAGGACCUCGCAUCGCCUCUCUGAUUUAAUUAUUACCUUCUGUCCUCUUUGUGGCACUGCAAUCAUUCAGGUGAGCUUUCUCCACGCUGAGAGUGCUUGGUGGCACCGGGGGGUGGCUGUGCAGCCCUGUCCCCGAGCACAGCACCUCAAAGCCCAUUGAGAUAAAGGCAUCCCAGGCAGAAGGGGAGCACGGGGGGCGGCGGUUCCAGCGGGGCCUUUUGCAAUUUGGCUGUCAACAGAUAGGGCAACUGGUUUCUAUAAUAAACACCGAGGGAUAGGUUUUCAAAGAGCAGAGGCCCUGCCUGCCCGGGCUGUGUGUAAUUUGUAACAGAGCAAAUCCAAGGGGCUGGCGGGCUGCCGCGCUCGGCUCGCGGGUUUGGCUGCCGUUUGGUGAGUCCAGAGGGUGCAGGUUCCCUCUGAACGCACAACCCCAACACGCUGAGGCUCUGUGGCUUUGCUGUUUGGUGUCCCAAAGCACGCGCUGUGCCGGUUGCGUGGCUGCGAGGGGCCCUCCCGCAGCUCCCCGGGGCGGGUGAGCACCGCGCACGCAGCAUCUGCUUGGCUGCAAAGCUGUCCGCCUUCCGGCAGCUUUGAGAAACGUGUGACCUCCUGGCACGGCAGCCCAGCUCCUGUCGCAGUGGGGCGGCUCGCUCCCUGGGUGGCAGGCAGCGGGGCAGCUCCCUUCUCCCAGCAGAAGCCACGAAGCUCUUGCACACAUGCGUGCACGCACGCAGCCCUUCCAAAGGCUCUGCCGGCUCCCGGCAUCUGUUCCACAUCACCUUCCUCCUUCUGCAGGGCUCGCUCCAUCCUUCCCCCAGAUGUUUCCAUCCCCCCGUGGUAUGAGGAACGCACAGAGCGAGCGCAGAUGUCGGCGUUGUGCAGCCAGCUCUGGCCUGGGGCAUGC